AUCAGAUGAGAUAUAGAGAGACUUGGAGAGGGAGAGACCGUAAAGGAGAUACAGCCCGGCAGCGGUGGUUCUAGGGCGGGGUCGCGGCAGCGACAUCGCCUCGGUGGUGAAGAUAACAGGGGACACAACCCUGAUUCCGGCGAACCUAGGGUUCUUCCAUCAUCAUCGUGAGUCAGAAAGUUCACUACCAGUCACCACCAUCAUCAUCAUGAGUUACUACGCCGAACCCUAAACGGCAGUCGACGCUCCUUCCCUCAAGGUUAUCCACCAAGGGCGUAUCCAUCACAGCAAGGGUAUGAUGAUCUGAGUUACAGCCAAGUGAUAGCUAUGUCACUUAUGGAAGCAAGUGGUUGUGGUUGUGAUGGUGUUUGUGGUGAGGACGAUGGUGUUGAUGAUAAUUGUGGUGAUAAUGGAGUUGAAAAACUCGGAGAUGUGUAAAGAUCCAAGAGCAGAGGUUCAGAUUUAGGGUAGAAACGACUCGAAACUCGGAAUGGUCUAAUUUUAUAACAUAAACGAAAGCUUGUAUUUUGGACUAUCAGCUUUAUUUUGCCGCAUAAAUUAGAUGUUUUGGAUCAUUUAGUGGUUAUUAUUGGUUUGUUAUUCGAGUGUAUUGAGAGGGUCAGUGACAAUGCCUACCACCAGACAGUUUUUAGAGUAACAAGCAAGAAGCCUUUCACUUCCAAUUACCGGAGGGGUAAAGGCAUAUAUUAAGAGUUUGAAGUUGAUUGUUUUUUCAACUAUCCAAGUACUACAGGCAACGGUAUCCUGUAUACAGUCAACAACACUAUCAAAGCUGGACAAAACACAUUUCCUGGCUUCUGAAGUUGCCAAUUUAGUGUUACAUGAAAUAGCUCUUCUUGAUGAAUGUGAAAUCUUUUUGGCUUCUGCAGUUCCUUCACAUUCGGCGCUCCUUCCCCUCAAGGCCAGUUACCCUUCAAUCCAGAUCUUCUUUAU
rnacentral:lncRNA from 1 species